GUUUUCUCAUUCUUCUUUGUCAAUAAAAUGCAUAUGCAUAGGAAUACUGGAUACAGACUAGAUCUACAAAACCAUGGCUUCAGCUUACAUGGAAAAAUAGCAUAGAUUCAUUGUUCACACUUACAUGUAAAAAAUUUACAGGUGGGCAUUGAUUGUGAUAACAAGAUCAUAAAACAUGUGUAGUAAUAGGUGGUGCUGAAAAAAGUGGCAUGAGAAGCAUUUUCCUUGGAUAAAAGAAUAAACAUAAACUGAAGGUCAUAGGCAACCUCUGACUUGCUGAAUUAUAUUCAAGCUUAUGCACAUUUCUCUAUAGCAGUAAGACCUAAGAACUAAU
rnacentral:misc_RNA from 1 species